rnacentral:siRNA from 1 species
UAAAGAUAAGUUUGGUGAGAGA